rnacentral:rRNA from 1 species
UACGGAGGGUGCGAGCGUUAUCCGGAUUUACUGGGUUUAAAGGGUGUGUAGGCGGAUUAUUAAGUCAGUGGUGAAAUCCCGGGGCUCAACCCCGGAACUGCCAUUGAUACUAUUAGUCUUGAAUACUGUGGAGGUGAGCGGAAUGUGUCAUGUAGCGGUGAAAUGCUUAGAGAUGACACAGAACACCGAUUGCGAAGGCAGCUCACUACGCAGUUAUUGACGCUGAGGCACGAAAGCGUGGGGAUCAAACAGG